GCGGGUGUGGCGGAAUGGUAGACGCCGGGGACUUAAAAUCCCCUGAUCCUAUAGAUCGUGUGGGUUCGAGUCCCACCACCCGCACCA
rnacentral:tRNA from 9 species